UACGUAGGAUGCAAGCGUUGUCCGGAUUUACUGGGCGUAAAGCGUGCGCAGGCGGUGAUGUAAGACCGAUGUGAAAUCCCCGGGCUUAACCUGGGAACUGCAUUGGUGACUGCAUCGCUCGAGUAUGGCAGAGGGGGGUAGAAUUCCACGUGUAGCAGUGAAAUGCGUAGAGAUGUGGAGGAAUACCGAUGGCGAAGGCAGCCCCCUGGGUCAAUACUGACGCUCAUGCACGAAAGCGUGGGGAGCAAACAGG
rnacentral:rRNA from 1 species